rnacentral:lncRNA from 1 species
UCUAUACACUACCACUGAAGGACAUUUAGGUGAGUAUCCCUAGCUUGGCUAGGGAGAAAAUCUCUGUUGUGUUCGUCUGCAACUCUUUGUGCUAAGACUCUUUCAGGUCGGGGUGACUGAGUCGUCAGAAGAAGCUCUAUUCUGUGUCACCACAAUGAGGCCCACCUGCAAGUAGGAGAAGACUUCUUCUUUUGUUCCAGCUCCUCUUUUCUUCAGGCUUUGCAGAGUUCAGUGUAUGUGAAGUGAGAGUCGCCUGCAUUUGGACUGUGCUGCUUUAGGUAAGUUCACAUUCCACUACUCAUCCCCCCCCCCCCCCAGAAUAAUGUUUUUUUUAUUGGUCUCUCCUUUUUCUCAUUUUCUUUUCUACUGGUCUCUCCGCAGGUCUCUCCAAAGAGCUCUUCUUAACAUCUUCAGGUUUUCUUUUUCCUGAGAGAACAUUAGCAGAAUGUUCUCUCAGGUUUUGCUUUUCCCCUUGUUGCAUUGCUCAAAAAAAAAAGCAAAAGACACUGGUGGUCGGCGCUCCUGGUUUCCAGGACGGGGUUCAAAUCCCUGCGGUGUCCAUGCUUACUUCCAAUGCAACUGCUAACACUCUCUAUCCUUCUCUAUCUUUCUCUAUCUCUCUAUCCCUCUCUCUCUCUGUCUCUCUAUCCCUCUCUAUCCCUCUCUAUCUAUCCCUCUCUAUCUCUCUAUCUCACACUGCCCAAAUAACAAUUGGCUCUUUUUUCUUAAGCCAAAGUAUUAGCAUGGAAGGGUGGUGACUUCAGUGACUGAGCUUGAUUCUUAACUCCACCACUGCACCUAAGGACCAUUUCAAGCACCACCUUCAAGGCUUCCAGGUCGGGGUUCAAGUCCCUGCGGUGUCCUUGCUAACUUCUAAUGCAACCAUCUAUUUGCUCCUAUAUCCCUCACUUCCCAAAGUAUUAGCAUGGGAGUGUUUUUGGGUGGGGAUUUCAGUGAAUAAGCUUGGUUCUGUAAAGUAUACAGUCAAAGCAACAUAAUUAACAGAAAACUAAAAUAUUAUCUUAAAGAUUUCAAAAUAAAACAUUACAAAGGAGGUCAACUACAGAAUACAUAUUUAACCCAAACAAAGUUAACAACAACAAAAGCCCCAAACAUUUCAAAAAAGAAAAAAACAUUGCUAAGUGAAGUCAAAUAUAAAAUGCACAUUUAAAACAGCAUAAUUAGCAAGAGAAUAAAAUAUUAUCAUAAGCAUGACACGGCUGUUUGGCAGGCACAAAAAGAUGGGGCAAAAGAAUCCAAUAGUUAGGGUUUGUUGUCAGGCAUAGCGAUGUCCCUCUGGUCUCCCCAGGAACCACUUGGGUAGAGCUGGGUGAGUGUGCGUCCCGCCCCCUAGGCCAGGUGGAAAGGGCCUUGCAGGGAGCGGCCUUCACGGCUCACAGCCGGGCGAUGUCCCUCUGCUCUCCCUUCAGGGCUAGCUUCAGGGCUCUGCAUUCAGACCAGCAAGACUGGGCAUUUGCUAAAGAUCCCAAAAUCCCAUGCUCCUACUUCAGCUUUGUACAAAGCAUCCAAUACAACAGAUGCAGCCAAGAGAAUUCUCAGCUUGCACGUUCCACCUCUUGCAGACCAGGGGCAUAGGCACUGAGGGUACCAUGCCCGAGAGCCCCCUGAAUCCUAAGACCACGUGCCCCACUCUUCCAACAGUAAAAAAACAACCCCAAAGAAACUGCCCCAUCAUCCCAACUCUACUUCCUUCAUAAUUAAUAGUUGGGCAAGACUUCAUCCUUUAGAAGCAAAUGGCAAUGAAACUUACAAGAUUUUCAUUUGCAUAAACAUGGUUAGAACUGGGCUGCAGCACACUCAAACUCAUUUAAAAUAAUUGUAUGAAUAGACUAAAUAUUUACAAAAUAUAUAUGACACUCUGACACUAGAUUCAGAACCGACAAAAAACACUAGUGCAAAGUUCUUCAUUCAGAGCAUAUUAUUUUUUUUAUCGAUAAGGUGUUGAUGUGUCUACAAUGGGCAAAUUCAUGAAAAAUGCGUCUAUUAAUGGCUGUUAAAAUGCAACCUCCAUUAUCAGAGACCCUAGAACUCUGAUUGCUUGAAGUUGGGGAUAAGCAAUAGGGCAGGCGUGUCCAAAGUCUGUUUCGGGGGCCUAAUCCUGCCCGCAGGUCGGUUUAAUCCGGCCCCUGUGGAAGUUUAUUUCCUGGGUAAAAUGGCCCUCUUUGGAAAAAAGUUUGGACACCACUGCAAUAGAGGAUUGCUCUCCUCAACUUGCUCUGCUGUGAACUUCUAAUUUCCAGGGUAAUAUAGUUGACAACUGUUGAAGGCAAAGAGCUAGACAGGAUGGACCUUUCACCUGAUCCAGCAUAGGCUGCUUUUAUGUGGUCAACUACAAAUCAGUACAUGCCAGUAGGGGGCUCCAAGGUUACAGGAAACAGUUGCUGCCCUCCUGCCAGAGUGCCAAAGGGUCCUUUCACAACACGGAGUAGGAGGACUCCAAAUACUGAAGACUUCGGAGGGACACAGGGGGCACCAUAUGCUUAAGAGCCAUUAUGUGUAGCCUAGCAACAUUCCUCUGUGAAACAACAGCCUCUGCACCCCGCCAUCACACCAGAAUCCUGAUUUAACUUUCGAAAAUGUUAUAAACCCAUGCUGCUGAUGUUUAUCAUUUUUACUGUGCUUAACAAGUGUUGAAAGAGCUUUGCAUUCUCUGUCUCAAGGACAGGUUACAAGUCGUAUGUCACUCAGUUCUGCUGUUGCUGCUCUUCUUCUUUAUAAACAAAACACAGCUUCCAAAGGAGGGCAUUUGAGUGGAGAAGUGGCUUGGGGCUGUGCUUUACACUUCCGCUAUCCCACAGACUCUCUGCUUCAAAUGGAAGAACCCCCAUUUAGACUCAUUUUGAACCUUCUGGGGAACCAACCCUCAAGGAGAGAAAUUUGGAGUUGAGAGGCUGCAGGCAGGGUGAGUGUGGGUCCCGCCCCCUAGGCCAACACCAACACCCCUCCCACUGCUUCUGUGAUCAAAACCACCCCACCUGAAUCUGUUUUUCUUUUGGGAAGAAUGGAACAGGGGAACAGUUACCAGUAUUUGCAUGUAAUGUCUCAUAAAGGCAUAUCUCAGCAGUAACAUCUUAAUAACCCUCAACGUGGGUCUAUUAUACCUGCAGGUAGUCAUGGAACAGGAACCCUCCUUCCUUGGAUUCCAAAGCAGACUCACCUGAUUUGACCUGAAGGAGCGUCUCCACCCCCAUCGUUCAGCCCAAACACUGAGGUCCAGCGCCGAGGGCCUUCUGGUGGUUGCCUCCCUGCAAGAAGUGAAGCUACAAGGAACAUGGCAGGGCCUUCUCGGUAGUGGCGCCUGCCCUGUGGAACGCCCUUCCACCAGAUGUCAAAGAGAAAAACAACUACUUUUAGAAGACAUCUGAAGGCAGCCCUGUUUAGGGAGGCUUUUAAUGUUCAACAGACUAUUGUAUCUUAAUAUUUUGUUGGAAGCAGCCCA